UGCGUAGGGGGCAAGCGUUGUCCGGAUUUAUUGGGCGUAAAGAGCGUGUAGGCGGUUUGGUAGGUCCGUUGUGAAAACUCGAGGCUCAACCUCGAGACGCCGGCGGAAACCAUCAGGCUAGAGUCCGGAAGAGGAGAGUGGAAUUCCUGGUGCAGCGGUGAAAUGCGCAGAUAUCAGGAAGAACACCCGUGGCUAAGGCGGCUCUCUAGUACGGUACUGACGCUGAGACGCGAAAGCGUGGGGAGCGAACAGG
rnacentral:rRNA from 1 species